AUUGAACGCUGGCGGCAUGCCUAACACAUGCAAGUCGAACGAGUGGCGGACGGGUGAGUAAUGUCUGGGAAACUGCCCGAUGGAGGGGGAUAACUACUGGAAACGGUAGCUAAUACCGCAUACCAUCAGAUGUGCCUCGAUGUGAUUCGCUAGGAGUUGGGGUAAUGGCUCAACUAGGCGACGAUCCCUAGCGGGUCUGAGAGGAUGACCAGCCACACUGGAACUGAGACACGGUCCAGACUCCUACGGGAGGCAGAAGUGGGGAAUAUUGCACAAUGGGCGCAAGCCUUAUGCAGCCAUGCCGCGGGUAUGAAGAAGGCCUUCGGGUUGUAAAGUACUUUCAGCGGGGAGGCGUUACCCGCAGAAGAAGCACCGGCUAACUCCGUGCCAGCAGCCGCGGUAAUAC
rnacentral:rRNA from 1 species